AUUGAACGCUGGCGGCCGGCCUAACACAUGCAAGUCGAGCGAGCGGCGGACGGGUGAGUAAUGUCUGGGAAACUGCCCGAUGGAGGGGGAUAACUACUGGAAACGGUGGCUAAUACCGCAUACUAUCGGAUGUACCCAUAUGGGAUUAGCUAGUAGGUGGGGUAAAGGCUCACCUAGGCGACGAUCUCUAGCUGGUCUGAGAGGAUGAUCAGCCACACUGGGACUGAGACACGGUCCAGACUCCUACGGGAGGCAGCAGUGGGGAAUAUUGCACAAUGGGCGCAAGCCUGAUGCAGCCAUGCCGCGUGUAUGAAGAAGGCCUUAGGGUUGUAAAGUACUGUCAGCGGGGAGGCGUUACCCGCAGAAGAAGCACCGGCUAACGCCGUGCCAGCAGCCGCGGUAAUUC
rnacentral:rRNA from 1 species